GAAAUGCGAUAAGUAAUGUGAAUUGCAGAAUUCCGUGAAUCAUCAAAUCUUUGAACGCACAUUGCGCUCCCUGGUAUUCCAGGGAGCAUGCCUGUCCGAGCGUCUCGAGAACCCCUCAAGCGAUGCUUGUCGUUGGGCCAUCGCCCUGCAACGGGCGGGCCUGAAAAUCAACGGCAGUCUCUCUUGGGCUCCCGCGUCGAGAACAAACGCGAACGCGAGGUAGGCCCAGGAUGAGCCUGGCCGCUCCCACCCGAUAGAUCAUGGUGGACCUCGGAUCAGGUAGGAAUACCCGCUGAACUUAA
rnacentral:misc_RNA from 1 species